rnacentral:rRNA from 1 species
AAACUCUGUCGUGCUGGGGGAUAGAGCAUUGCAAUUGUCGCUCUUCAACGAGGAAUGCCUAGUAAGCGCGCGUCAUCAGCGCGCGCUGAUUACGUCCCUGCCCUUUGUACACACCGCCCGUCGCUACUACCGAUCGAAUGGCCAAGUGAGGCCUCUGGACCAGCCCUCGGGUGUCGGCAACGGCAGCCAGGGGUUGGGAAGCUGGUCAAACUUGGUCAUUUAGAGGAAGUACAAGUCGUAACAAGGUUUCCGUAGGUGAACCUGCGGAAGGAUCAUUAUGGAGGAAAGCCUAGGCAUUCGGGCCCCUUCUGAUGGGGGGAUCCCGGAGCUGGUGCUAUGCUCCUUGUCGGAACAAUCCACAGUUUGCCUCCUGCCAGCAAUCCAGCGCGAUUGUCUGCUGGCAGAACAAGAGACAAGCACGGGGGAAGUAUGGUGCCAAAGGCCUGUUUGGCGACAGGUCUGAAUCGCCUAGUCUUGAAAAGAACAUGAAGUGAAAUAGGGUGUACACCCAUGAUUAUUCCUUGAAAACCAUUGACGAUGGAUCUCUUGGCUCUGGCAUCGAUGAAGAACGCAGCGAAACGCGAUAGGGUGAUGCGAUUUGCACAGCAUAGCGAACCAUUGAAUCUUUGAACGCACAUUGCGCCCCUCUGCCGUUUCACGGUUCGGGGGGGCACGCCUGUCCGAGCGUCGCCAUGAAUGUCGAGCCUUACGGGCUUGGUUUUGGGGCUUUUAUCCCUCUGGCCAUGCUUUUGGCCUGGAUUGCCUUGCAAACUGUUGGUGGUGCCCCUGGUGCCUUUGGUUGCAGCGUGUUACGAUGGCGACUCUAAAGGGAUGACCAGUUUUGGGCCGAUGCUAACUGAAAUCAUGGAAGUGUUGAAAAAAAAUGUUCGACCUCGGAUCAGGUGGGGACACCCGCUGAACUUAAGCAUAUCAAUAAGCGGAGGAAAAGAAACCAACCGGGAUUGCCUCAGUAACGGCGAGCGAAGCGGCAAGAGCCCAAAUUUGAAAUCCGGCAACAGCUGGAGUUGUAAUUUGCAGAGGAUGUUUCGUCGGUCGUGCCCUGGCCCCAUGUUCCCUGGAAUGGGAUGUCACAGAGGGUGAGAACCCCGUAGGGGCCGGUGGCUGCGGCUGCAGCAGAGCGAAAGCUUUGCGAAGCGCCUUCGACGAGUCGAGUUGUUUGGGAAGCAGCUCA